GGAAGAGAUCCACAGGGGAAAAGAAAAUGAAAUUUCUUUUUUUUAGUCCAUCCAUUUUUACUUGUUUUCUCUAGUUCCCAAUGGUCCUAGUAGAAAAUGCCUUUUUAUUUUUUCCUUUUCUUAUUUUUGGGACACUUGUCCUCAUCGCAUUGGCCCAGAAAACAUGAAAAUAUUCGUCAUCCAUACACGCCAUGUGUCCUCCUUUGGAGGAUAAG
rnacentral:lncRNA from 1 species